GACAGAGGGUGCAAACGUUGUUCGGAUUUACUGGGCGUAAAGCGUGUGUAGGCGGCUUGGCAAGUUGGAUGUGAAAGCCCACGGCUCAACCGUGGAAGCGCACCCAAAACUGCUUCGCUCGAGUCUCGGAGAGGAAGGUGGAAUGCUUGGUGUAGAGGUGAAAUUCGUAGAUAUCAAGCAGAACACCUGCGGCGAAGGCGGCCUUCUGGACUGUAACUGACGCUGAGGCGCGAAAGCGUGGGGAGCAAACAGGGAUUAGAAACCCGGAUAGACCCAGG
rnacentral:rRNA from 1 species